rnacentral:rRNA from 1 species
UACAGAGGGUGCAAGCGUUAAUCGGAAUUACUGGGCGUAAAGGGCGCGUAGGCGGACAGUUUAGUCAGAGGUGAAAGCCCAGGGCUCAACCUUGGAAUUGCCUUUGAUACUGGCUGUCUUGAGUUCGGGAGAGGUGAGUGGAAUGCCGAGUGUAGAGGUGAAAUUCGUAGAUAUUCGGCGGAACACCAGUGGCGAAGGCGACUCACUGGCCCGAUACUGACGCUGAGGCGCGAAAGCGUGGGGAGCAAACAGG